rnacentral:rRNA from 1 species
CCUACGGGUGGCAGCAGUGAGGAAUAUUGGUCAAUGGACGAGAGUCUGAACCAGCCAAGUAGCGUGAAGGAUGACUGCACUAUGGGUUGUAAACUUCUUUUAUAUGGGAAUAAAACGUUCCACGUGUGGGAUUUUGUAUGUACCAGAUGAAUAAGGAUCGGCUAACUCCGUGCCAGCAGCCGCGGUAAUACGGAGGAUCCGAGCGUUAUCCGGAUUUAUUGGGUUUAAAGGGAGCGUAGGUGGAUUGUUAAGUCAGUUGUGAAAGUUUGCGGCUCAACCGUAAAAUUGCAGUUGAAACUGGCAGUCUUGAGUACAGUAGAGGUGGGCGGAAUUCGCGGUGUAGCGGUGAAAUGCUUAGAUAUCACGAAGAACUCCGAUUGCGAAGGCAGUUCACUGGACUGCCACUGACACUGAGGCUCGAAAGUGUGGGUAUCAAACAGGAUUAGAUACCCUAGUAGUC